rnacentral:rRNA from 1 species
CAGUCGCCACGGUAAUACGAAGGGUGCAAGCGUUAUCCGGAUUCACUGGGUUUAAAGGGUGCGUAGGCGGGCAGGUAAGUCAGUGGUGAAAUCUUCGAGCUUAACUCGGAAACUGCCGUUGAUACUAUCUGUCUUGAAUAACGUUGAGGUGAGCGGAAUGUGUCAUGUAGCGGUGAAAUGCUUAGAUAUGACAUAGAACACCGAUUGCGAAGGCAGCUCACUAAACGCUCAUUGACGCUGAAGCACGAAAGCGUGGGGAUCAAACAGGAUUAGAUACCCCAGUAGUCCCUGUCUCUUAUAC